UAAAACAUGUUAGCCAUCACACAAUGUGUA
rnacentral:piRNA from 1 species